AGCAUGAUGAGAAGCCCUACUGCACUAACUGUUACAUGAAGACGUUCGGUCCCAGAGCAGGUAAGGGGAGAAUGAUGUCAUACUGUCACAGCUCAGCCUCCUCUUCCUCUUCCACCUCCUAGGAACCAGUCUAAC